UGCAUCUCCAUCCUCUAUCCAAUCCCCUCCCUUUCCCUUCCCUUCCUCCAUUCCGUCUCGAGCGAGAGCCUCCGCCACACCAUCUCCCAAUUCAUCUCGAUCUCGUCCUCUCCGCACCCUGCUCCACGCAAGCCCCGCUUCCACCGUCGGCCGGUGUUCGUUGCGCUGGCCGCUGCUGCAACUGCAUCCAAACGAAGUUGCUUCCUCGUGGGCUGGAGUAGGAGGCUUUGAGGUGAUGUGCAAGGGGAGCUGCAAGACACAUCUGGUGGGCCUGCAAGCAGCAGAGGCAAGCGUUGAGAAUGGCGACGGCCGCCGCCGCUAGCCGCCGACGCCCAGCUGCACCGACGAGGCGGUCUGCAACCAGCAAGACGGCGACAACACCCCCAGCUAAGUGCUACAACUACGGCAGUAAGAAGCUGGGACCAGCACCUAAAAUUGGUACUACCAAUGUUUUUUGGUUUCGUCCCAACUUUACUGUUUUUUUGCUACCACCGCUCUUUAGGAUUGCUGGAACUAGCUCCAAAUUUUGUUACCACCGGCGCUUUUGAUUUUGCUGGAACCAAUGUCAAUUUUUGCUAUCACGGGCGUUCUAGUUUUCUAGAACCAGGUCCAUUUUUUGCUACAAUUAGACAUUUUUUCUUUUGCUGGAACAAACGUCCAAUUUUUAGAAUUUUGUUUCCAAUGAUGUUUUGUUUUGCUGGAACCACUUCAAUUUUUGCUACCUCCGGUGUUUCGAUUGUUGGAACAUUUCCCAAGUUUUUGCAUUUUUGCUUCCAUCGUUUUUUAUUUUUGCUGGAACCAACCUCAAAAUUUGCUACCACCAUAUCACGAUUUUUGCUGGAACCAUGUGCCAAUUUUACUGCAACCGGCAAUUUCUUUUUGCUGGAACCUGCAAUGGGACCAGCAUGAUGGGGAGAUGCAUCAUUGGUUUUUGCUGGCACCACAACAGGGGAGUUGCAUCUUUGAGUUUUGUUGGAACCGGCAACGUGGAUAGCAACAGCCGUCAUUUUUUUUUUUUUGCUACAAUCAUCGAUGGGACGGGAACUACUGGAGAACUUUUUAUUGCUGGAACCGCAUAGAAAAAAGCUACAACGGGCGUCGUAUUUUGCUACAACCAUGAUGCCGGUGUGAAGAGCGGAUUACGUGGGCACUUUUUUGCUGCAACCACAUAGCAAAAAGCUACAACGGUUGUUGCAUUUUUCUACGCCCAUGACCACCGGUGCUGGAAGAGCAUUCCACGCCGGAAUCUUUUUUGCUACAACCGCGUUCCGUAGAUGCUGGAACUAGCAACACUUGAUGCUGGAAGCAGCUGCCCACCCCCACGGGCGCUACGAGCUUAGUGACGUGCGAGGAGAGAUCACCGGCGAGGGUGCUGCAAAUGGCGGCAACGCGGUGUUCUGACCAUGGCGAUUUGGUUUGAAGCGGCGGCGGCGGUUGCUAUGGUGAGGGCAAGCCGUGUUUUGAUGGCGCUCUCGCGUUUUCUCUAUGGCCGCCGGCGGAGCGAGUCCGUGGGAGGGAGUGGGUCCAUUUUUUUUUUAGGGGGGCGAGGGGGAGGGGAGGGGAGGAGGCGAGCUGUUGCCAGCCGCGGCGAGCUCGUCGGGAGCGCGGGCACAACAACGACGAGGAAGAUUUGGCUGGACGAAAGGAUCUCAAGAAAGAAGAUGGGUCAAAAUGGAAGACCAGAUCGGAUAGCUACACUAGGCCACAUCGAGCGGUCGCGAGCGGACCGGCCCAAAGUUUCGGCCGGUGCACCGGCGCUUAUUAGUGCCUUUGAUCUCAAUUUGGUAAUCAACAUGGAAUUUGGGCGGAUGAUGCACUGUUAGCCUAUCCUGGUCCCACGUGCCAGAAUAGGAAACGGGACGAGUUAAACCCAAAGCCCCCCUCGGCCUCCAUGUCAUCCCGAAAAAUAAAAUAAAAAAUCCAUCCCUGCCCUCUCGCCUCCCUUCUCCCACCCCUCUCCACUCCGAGCCCUGCCUCGCCGCUGAGGCUCUGCUUCGCCGCCGACCUCCUUCGCCCGUUCAACGCGCAUUGGCGCACGAAGACAAGAAACUUCCGCGCUGCGCCCCUCACCGUCGACCGCCGGGAAGCCGUCCUCUCGCGCUCGAAAGCAAGAAGGGUUCUUGGCUGCCAGCCUUGGCCAAGAACGCAAGAACCGACUCAAGAACGCCAUGAGGCGUGCGGAGGAGCCAGGGGAGCACCAGGGCGCGCCAGCUCGGUGGUGGUGGUGGCUGGCCUCGUCGCCGCGGCGCUGGCUCCGGUUCGUGCUUGUUCGGCGAUGGCGGCGGCGGUGGUGGUGGGUGGCCUCGCCGUCCCCGAUGCAGGAGGAAGCACCGGAGGCGAGUGGAUACGACGCAGCCGCCUCCCCACACAACGACGUGCUCGCCGCCGCCCUUCUCAACGGGUCGUCGCCAGCGCAUCUCCCUGCUCUCGAGGCCAACCUCGCCGCAUCGCUCGCCGGCGUGGAAUCCUCGGCAUCCACGCCAUCGCUGCCCCUGCUACAGGAGGGAGCACCGGGGCGCAGUGAUCACGGCACAGCCGCCUCCACGCGCAGCGACGCAUCCUCCCCAGCGCCUCUCCCUGCGCUCGGGGCCAACCUCGACGCAUCGCUCGCCAGCGUGGAGUCCUCGGCAUCCACGACCUCAGCGCUCCUGCUGCGGGAGGGAGUAGCGGAGGCGAGUGAGCACGGCACGGGCGCCUCCCUGCACAGCGACGUGCUCGUCGCCGCCGUCCUCAACGAUUCCCCGCCGUGCCAUCCGCAGGAGGGACCCAAGGCGAGUGGUCAUGGUGUGGCUGCGCCCCAACACACGGACCCGACCUCGCCUUCACCGCCGGAUAGUUGCGACGGCACGAUCAUCUCUCUUGAGGUAUGAAUCUUUGCUGUCAGUAAUCCAUCGUAGGAAAAUGUAAUUGACACUGAAUCUUUGCUGAAAGUUGGGAGUUUCGUCUGCUAUGUUAAGGAGAAUUGACACUGAAUCUAGUUUUUUCUGUAAUUAGGCUGCAAUAUUGAUAUCCAAAGUGAACGCAACUACGUUGAAAGCUAGUGUCACCACUCACCAGCAUACAUAGACUGCAAUAUUUAGCCUGCAACUACAUUGGAACAGUGAGUGAGAUUGACUGUUGGAAUAACUGAAUUUCAUCUCGUGCCCUUCUCACUUGCAGGUUUACUAUCUUCAGUAGUUCUAUCCUUUCCAGGCAUGUCCCCCUUUUUAGGUUGAUCACUAGGUUUUAGACAUGAUUGAGCAUUUUCUCCUGAUGAUGUUUGUCAUGUGUCUUCUCCCUGUCUCUUUGGAGUGCUUGGCCUUUGGCCUUUGUUUUAGCCUGAACUGAAGGUCCAAAUCCCUGCUGUCCUCGACGACUGCACCUCUGAUGUCCUAUCCCCUCUUCAGCACUUUUGAAUUUUGUUGAGCCUAAUAUUUGAAUUUUGAGUCACUAAUAUUUUCAUUUUGGCAGGAGGAGGUGGCAGUGGUGGUAGAGCAGUUGAGUGGCCACAGGGUGGCUGCAUCCCAACACACGGCCCCGACCUUGCCUUCACUGCCGGAUAGCUGCGACGGCGCGAUUAUCUGUCUUGAGG
rnacentral:lncRNA from 1 species